CGUGGUAAUUUCGGGCUCUCUGAUUGGUUGAUUUUUCUAUCUUACGUGGACACCCUCUCCAUGGCUUAUAUUUGCCUUUUAGUAUAGUAUAGAUUUUAAUUUUGAGUUUCACUAAAAAUGUCAAGCUUAUUGUUGAUAACAAAAGCACCUCAAACUAGUUGGGAAUCCUGUGCAAUUUUCUUUAUUUCUCUACUCUCCUCUUUCGAUCAUCAUUCACAUGACGCAACACAAAAAAUUUCUCUACUUUUUUCCUUCACAAGGUUAUUAUAUAAAGUAUGUAAAAAAGAAACAAAACAAAAACAAAAUAUUGAGAGCUGCGAAUUCGGCCGCCAUCUAAGCAAAAACACAACAAAAAGCAUGAUUGUUGUGUCAGGAGAGAGGGGCAUGUCCCACUUCUCUUUCUCUCCCUAGCUUUUGUGGCUCUAUAUAAGAGACACUAUCUUCAUUUUGUUCUCUUUGUCCCUACAACUUCCAUACAAGUAUUCUCUCUCCCUACAAAACAUAUAAACCCACUUUCACUGCUUCGUUCGGUUCCAACACUCUAACCUAAAGGGCAAGAUUUAUCGAAAUGGAGAAGCUGAACUCGAAGCUGUACGUGCAAAACUGUUAUAUAAUCAAGGAGAACGAAAGGUUGAGGAAGAAAGCUCAGAUUCUGAACCAGGAGAAUCAACAACUUCUCUUGGAACUCAAACAGAAGCUCUCCAAAACCAAGAACCCUAAUGGAUCCAAUCAAGGAAGCAACAACAGCCUAUCUACAUCAAGCUCUGCUUCUGGGCAAUCAUGAUGCAACAAAUCUCUUAGGACAAUAUUUGGAUUUGGAGAAUGAAACAUCAUCAUAACCCUGCUUAUUUAAAAGAACCCAUCUUUUUAUCUUCUUUUUUUCUUGAUGUAGUGGUCUAAUGUAAGAAAAUAGUUAAGAAUUUGGAGAAGUGGUUAGUAGUUGUAGUAGUUGUAGUAGUAUUAUCACUUUGACAAAAGUAUUAUUAUUAAUUAUCAAGUAGUUUUCUUGUUGUUUUAUCUUGUUUAUAAAAUUGUGGGUUCUUCUAAUUUCUUAACUACAAAAAGGACAUAAGCAAUGUGUCUCUCUGUCUAUCUUCUCAGGGAUAUUUUACUUUUGUUUCCAUUUACAUGCUAAAUAUAUUUUCUUUCUUGCCUU